rnacentral:rRNA from 1 species
GAUCCUGCCGGACCCUACUGCUAUCAGGAUAAGACUAAGCCAUGCGAGUCAUGCGCUCUCCGGCCACGUGGAGAGUGCGGCGUACGGCUCCGUAACACGUAGCUAACCUACCCUUAGGAUGAGGACAACCCCGGGAAACUGGGGCUAAUACUCGAUAGGCGAAGGUACCUGGAAUGGUUCUCCACUGAAAGGGCAUUAGAAACAUGCUUCUAAUGUUGCCUAAGGAUGGGGCUGCGUCCGAUCAGGUUGUUGGUGGGGUAACGGCCUACCAAGCCUAUAACCGGUACGGGCCCUGAGAGGGGUAGCCCGGAGAUGGGAACUGAGACAAGGUCCCAGGUCCUACGGGGCGCAGCAGGCGCGAAAACUCCACAAUGCACGAAAGUGUGAUGGGGUUAUCCUGAGUGACGUCCGUGAGGAUGGCUUUUACCUAGUGUAAGGGACUAGGAGAAUAAAGGGGGGGCAAGUCUGGUGUCAGCCGCCGCGGUAAUACCAGCUCCCUAAGUGGUAGGGACGAUUAUUUGGCCUAAAGCGUCCGUAGCCGGCUCAGUAAGUCUUUAGUUAAAUCUAACGACUUAAUCGUUAGAACGCCGAAGAUACUACUGGACUAGAGGAUGGGAGAGGUUGACGGUAGUCCUGGGGUAGGGGUGAAAUCCUAUAAUCCCAGGAGGACCACCAGUGGCGCAGGCGGUCAACUAGAACAUGCCUGACGGUGAUGGACGAAAGCUGGGGGAGCGAACCGGAUUAGAUACCCGGGUAGUCCCAGCUGUAAACGAUGCGGGCUAGGUGUUGGAACAGCUAUGAGCUGUUCCAGUGCCGCAGAGAAGUCGUUAAGCUCGCCGCCUGGGAAGUACGGUCGCAAGGCUGAAACUUAAAGGAAUUGGCGGGGGAGCACCACAAGGGGUGAAGGCUGCGGUUUAAUUGGAGUCAACGCCGGA